AUGCAUUAUUUUUUAUACAUUCUUGAAUUUUAUGUGCUAAUAUGUGGUAAGUAUUUUACAUCUAUGUUUAUGAGAAAUAUCAGUCUGUUGUUUUUCUUUCUUGUAACGUCUUUGUCUGGUUUGGGUAUUAGAGUAACACUGGCCUUACAGAACGAGUUAAGAAGUAUUCUCUCGGCAGAUGAUCCUUGGACGCCGCGUGUCCCCGUGCUGGCCUUGGAGGUGCCGUCAGGAGUCAUUGGACCUUCUGAAGACGUCCCUGGAUCUCGGGUUAAAAAUCCUUGUUGUAAUCUCAGCUGUGGGAGGACAGGCUAGUUGGUCGGUGAUAUUCCCACUUGAGGACAUCAUGCUUUCCAAACUAGCGCGUUUGCAGACUGUUGCUGGCCUUGGUCGUGGAGUUCAUUCCUCA
rnacentral:lncRNA from 1 species